AUACGUCGGUGACAAGCGUUAUCCGGAUUUACUGGGCGUAAAGGGCGUGUAGGCGGCCUUGCAAAUCAGAAGUGAAAUUCCUGAGCUCAGCUAGGGCGCUGCUUCUGAAACUGCAGGACUUGAGUGCUGGAGGGGAAAGCGGAAUUCCUAGUGGAGCGGGAAAAUGCGUAGAUAUUAGGAAGAACACCGGUGGCGAAGGCGGCUAUCUGGACAGUAACAGACGCUGAGGCGCUAACGCGUGGGGAACAAACAGGAUUAGAUUCCCUGGUAGUCCACGCCGUAAACGAUGAAUACUAGGUGUAGUGGGUAUCGACUCCCUCUGUGCCGCAGUUAACACAAUAAGUAUUCCGCCUGGGGAGUACGGCCGCAAGGUUGAAACUCAAAUGAAUUGACGGGG
rnacentral:rRNA from 1 species